CUGGGCUUGAUUAUUUAUUUAUUAAACCUUAAAAUAUUUUUUUUUGCAACUGUAAAGGGCCUUUCACAACCAGAUAUUUCUUUUUCAAUUUAAAAGUAAUGCAUUACUUUUCUAGUUACCUGAAAAAAGUAAUCCGAUUACAUUAUUUGUAAUGCAUUACCCCCAAAACUGGUUUUCAAAUGUAAACGAAUGGAAAUUACUGUGUUUAGCUGCAGUUCAUCAGAAACAACCACAUUAAACUCUUAAAUCAUAUCACUAUAAAUACUGCUCUAAUGAUUCUUUCAUUCAUCACAGUUCAGACUGGACACCAUAUUCAGAGCGAGGAAUGAAACUGCAGUGACUCCAAACUCAGGUGAGUUUCAGCUGAUAAACGAUUGAUUAUUCACUAAUAAAACACUGCAGAUCUGAUUCACACUCAAUCCGGUUUCACUCUUUUCGCUCUUAUUAACUCAUAUUUGUGAUCACUGUGUUUUUAAUUAUGUUCUGAAUGAAGUGACUCCAGAUCUCCAACAUUCAGGUAAACUCCUGCGCUUCUGCGUUUCAAUAUUUAUCAUUUUAUUGAUCAGCUGUUUCAGUCAUUCAUAUUCAGUCAUUCAGCUGAAUUUAUUGUCUCUCACAUGUAUAGAUCAGUGGUGGUGGAUUUAUGUUCUUCUCAUUGUCAUUGUUCUUCUGGUGUUGAUCUGUUUCUUGCGUAAAAGGAUCUUCAGAUGUUUUCAGAGAAAAGAGCGGUUCAUCAGUCAGCGUGAAGCUCCAGACAACAGGGUUCUGGUGACGCUCAGAUCUGAUCAUCCAGGAAUUGGUUCAGCGAAUCAGUGCAGUGUUCAGUGUUCAGAUGCUGAUAAAGCAUCUGAUGUUUUGACUGAUUAUUCACCAUUCUGGUUCUUUUCAAAAAAGAAUAAGAACCGGUUUUCGGUUCCCACGCCAAGUCAUGAAGAUCAGAUUUAUUAAUGAGAAUAUUAUUUAUCUUCAGAACUGUUUAAUAAUAAUAAUAAUAAUAAAAGCUAUUUUGUUUCAUUUUGUUGUUUUAUU
ensembl:lncRNA